AUAAAUCAAACACCUGGGACCUAGGCAUCGAAGUGAUUAACAACUGAAAAUGUAACAUCUAAAUGAUACUAAGAGAACUGUGCCCUUAGAGAAUGUAAGUUGCAUUGAGCAUUCAAACAACAGUAGAAAUGUGAAACCAUUAGAAAAUUGGAAAACACAUGAUCAAAUGCAAUUCCACUAUUGCAUUAACGUAAACAUUCGAAAUUUCCAUGUAUCUGUUCCCAACAUUUCAAAAUAUCAAAAAAAUCGCAAAUCUACUAGCCACUAAACUAAAAUUCUAUAAUCAUUCAAUUUCAAUAUCUCUCCCCUUGGCUUCACCCGUGUUGUCGACCUCUUGAUCUCUUUAUGUUUAAAGAGUAAUGUAGCAAUGUCCAACCUAGCUCGUCUAGCAUCAAUUGGGGCUGCAAUAUGAUUUCGUGGCAUUCCAUGUAGUAUGAAACGCAUGUGUCUGCUAGGAUAGCCAGUUGUUCAUCAGUGAAUUUCGAUGUGAAAUUUGACAAAACAGUCUUUUUCGUAUUGAUUGUAAUUUUACCCGAAAAUCAACAAUCUCUCAGGAUAAUAUACUUCCAUUCCUGCAUCACAGUAAAGAGAGGGUAAACAUGUCGGAUUCUCAAAUUGAUCACAUCAUAUUUACAUUGUGCACGAAAUCAAGAACAUUUUACUGUCGACGAACCAUUACAAAAAUAUCUCACAAUCUAAGGAUAGUUCUUAAUAUUGAUCACAAUCCACAAUUAGUGUGGUCACAAUCCAUAUUGGUCACACGAAAACAUCUCACAAUAUCAAGAUAUUUCAUAAUCUUCGUCUUAAUCCACAUUUCACGAAUUGGUCACACAAAUCAGGGUGGUCACAAUCCUUAUUGGUCACACAAAAACAUCUCACAAUAUGAAGAUAGUUCAUAAUCUUGGUCACAAUCUACAUUUCAUGCAUUGUUCACACAAAUAAUACUGGUCACAACCUAUAUUGGUCACACUCAUAUUGGCCACAAUCCAUAUUCCUAAAUAGUGUGGUGUAUGAUUUCAUUUAUGCUACAAUAUAGUUAUUGCAUUGAUUCCCAGAAUCCCCCCAUCACAGCAUUUACAAUGAGAUUGCCUAUGCAAGCACCAAAAUCUAGCACACUAGAACAUCUCACAAUAUAAUGAUAUUUCAUUAUCUUGGUCACAAACAUUUCAGGCAUUAGUCACACAAAUCAGGGUGGCCACACGAAAACAUCUCACAAUCUGAAGAUAGUUCAUAAUAUUGGGCACAAUCCACAUUUCGCGCAUUGUUCACAUAAAUAUUAUUGGAAAGAUUUCCUAACAAAUUAACGAUAUGCUAUUCAUACUCACCCAAAUUGAUUAGAAAAAUGGAUUACCCAUAAUCUCAAAGGAAAAAAAAAAAUCAACUUACAGUUUUCGAUUUUGAUUUUCACGAGUCAGUCGGCGUUUUGGGGAUUUCUUCACGAACUCUCUUUUUUACUUUCGGGCUUCUUCUCUUUCCUAGUUCACUUCUAGACGUGUCGCCGAAAAUGGAUCGAGAUUUCCGGUCACAACUCUUCGUAAUGGCCAUUUUACAAGAUUACCGAUACCAACCCUUCCCUCCAUGUUCGAUCUUCUUGGAAAGCAAACAGAAUUGCGCGACUUUAGAGAUUUUGCUUAGGUACCAUGAGAGAAUGAGGUAGUAGGUUUGACUGUCGAUUGAAAUGAAGUAGGAUAUAUUUGUGAAAUUUGGGUAAAAAUCAAUUUGGUUUUAUUGAUUGAUAGGGGGUAUGUUCGAAGAUUUUACAGUUUCUAAGAGAUUGUUUACUAUUUUGAAAACUUUCUCUCUGUAAUUUUCAAGUUAAAAGCGGAAGCAUUCAAGAUGAAUAAAUAUUUAUUUAAAGCAUAAUAAAAUAUUAAUUAAAACCUGAUUUUUGUAUUAUGAAACUUAAUCCUUGGUUUAUGAAAUUGGAUCUUUAAAUACCGGCCAGGCUGUAAUUUCCUCUCUUUAUUGCUAAUUGUGGACGAGACAGCUUAAUUAAUUAAAAAAUUAUUACAAAUUGACAAGAACUCGUUUUGUAGAACAUUCAAAAAUUAAAAGUUAUUUUUUUAGAAUAGAGUGAUAUAGAAAGGUAAUUAACACAAAAGCUUUCCAUCUUUUAAUAUGAUUGUGCAAAAUGUUUCUACCAUUUAUUUUUUGACAUUUUCACCAUUUUUUUUCACAUUUCAUUAUGAAAAUAAUCAUUUUCAUCUAUUUUUUUCAAUUAAAAGCUGUAAAAUGAUUAAUAUAUCCC
rnacentral:lncRNA from 1 species